GGAUGUGGGGGGUAUUGGAGGUGGGGUGUCCGUAGGGAGUGAGGUCACCGUAGCCAAGCUGUGUGGGCGUGUGUGUGUGUGUGGGGGGUAGUGACAAACAACAUAAUGAACCAGUAAUUGAUCCCGCAUACAUACAGUCAAAAAAUUAUACAACAUUUAUUUCAUGUAUGCAUGCUAAGGAUAUACCACAUUCACUAGUUAUCUACAAGAACAGAAGAAAUUAAAUAGGCAAAUGAAAAUGUACAGUAUACACUCACAUCAUCGACUAGGAACAGCACCACGUUGGGUGGUGUGGCAGCCAUGACGACGGCUAGCAGAGAGACCAACAGCAAACUCUCCAGUGGUUGGAGGCACACAAACUGAAAUGAAGAUAGACCCCAACAUAGCUGCUAACCCAGCGUACGAGGCAGUCAAGUGUGACCAGGAGGACCACACCUACGAUGUCGUCAGUGAGGGGGUGGCUGGCUUCAAGACAGAGGAAAGGC